GUCUCAGUCUGGACUCCCCCCUUGCCUUCCCUUCAAGUGCCUUUAGUAGUCUUUCUUCUUGAGCAGACAGGCCAUGGAAAGGAGGAAUCCUCCCAUUUACCUUC